rnacentral:rRNA from 2 species
ACAUGCAAGUCGAGCGGAAAGGCCCCUUCGGGGGUACUCGAGCGGCGAACGGGUGAGUAACACGUGGGUAAUCAACCCUUGACAUCGGGAUACCCCGGGGAAACCCGGAUCAAUACCGGAUAAGGUGCGGAGGCGCAGGCCGCCGUACCAAAGAUAGCUUCGGCUUUCGGUCAAGGACGAGCCCGCGGCCCAUUAGCUUGUUGGUGGGGUAAUGGCCUACCAAGGCGACGAUGGGUAGCUGGUCUGAGAGGACGAUCAGCCACACUGGGACUGAGACACGGCCCAGACUCC